rnacentral:rRNA from 1 species
UACAGAGGUCUCAAGCGUUGUUCGGAUUCAUUGGGCGUAAAGGGUGCGUAGGCGGCGUGGUAAGUCGGGUGUGAAAUCUCACGGCUCAACCGUGGAACUGCAUUCGAUACUGUCGGGCUAGAGGCAGGUAGGGGAGAUCGGAAUUCCCGGUGUAGCGGUGAAAUGCGCAGAUAUCGGGAGGAACACCGGUGGCGAAGGCGGAUCUCUGGGCCUGUCCUGACGCUCAGGCGCGAAAGCUAGGGGAGCAAACAGG